rnacentral:rRNA from 1 species
CAGCAGUGGGGAAUAUUGCACAAUGGGGGAAACCCUGAUGCAGCGACGCCGCGUGGAGGAAGAAGGUCUUCGGAUUGUAAACUCCUGUUGUUGAGGAAGAUAAUGACGGUACUCAACAAGGAAGUGACGGCUAACUACGUGCCAGCAGCCGCGGUAAAACGUAGGUCACAAGCGUUGUCCGGAAUUACUGGGUGUAAAGGGAGCGCAGGCGGGAAGACAAGUUGGAAGUGAAAUCCAUGGGCUCAACCCAUGAACUGCUUUCAAAACUGUUUUUCUUGAGUAGUGCAGAGGUAGGCGGAAUUCCCGGUGUAGCGGUGGAAUGCGUAGAUAUCGGGAGGAACACCAGUGGCGAAGGCGGCCUACUGGGCACCAACUGACGCUGAGGCUCGAAAGUGUGGGUAGCAAACAGGAUUAGAUACCCUGGUAGUCCACACCGUAAACGAUGAUUACUAGGUGUUGGAGGAUUGACCCCUUCAGUGCCGCAGUUAACACAAUAAGUAAUCCACCUGGGGAGUACGACCGCAAGGUUGAAACUCAAAGGAAUUGACGGGGGCCCGCACAAGCAGUGGAGUAUGUGGUUUAAUUCGACGCAACGCGAAGAACCUUACCAAGUCUUGACAUCCUGCGACGCACAUAGAAAUAUGUGUUUCCUUCGGGACGCAGAGACAGGUGGUGCAUGGUUGUCGUCAGCUCGUGUCGUGAGAUGUUGGGUUAAGUCCCGCAACGAGCGCAACCCUUAUGGUCAGUUACUACGCAAGAGGACUCUGGCCAGACUGCCGUUGACAAAACGGAGGAAGGUGGGGAUGACGUCAAAUCAUCAUGCCCUUUAUGACUUGGGCUACACACGUACUACAAUGGCGUUAAACAAAGAGAAGCAAGACCGCGAGGUGGAGCAAAACUCAGAAACAACGUCCCAGUUCGGACUGCAGGCUGCAACUCGCCUGCACGAAGUCGGAAUUGCUAGUAAUCGCAGAUCAGCAUGCUGCGGUGAAUACGUUCCCGGGCCUUGUACACACCGCCCGUCACACCAUGAGAGCCGGGGGGACCCGAAGUCGGUAGUCUAACCGCAAGGAGGACGCCGCCGAAGGUAAAACUGGUGAUUGGGGUGAAGUCGUAACAAGGUAGCCGUAGGAGAACCUGCGGCUG